rnacentral:tmRNA from 1 species
GGGGAUGUUUAAUAAUUGAUAGGUUUAUAUAUUUGAUUCGGCAGGUCGAAGUCUUCGCUUCUUCGUUAAAUAGGCGAUAACUUACAUAAAUGCCAAGUCAUUUAUUGCUAAAGUAAAGUCAGGCUUAACACCGAGCUUUGCGUUUAGCCCAGCUUUGGCUUAAUUUUUAAGCCGAGGCCGUUCUGCUAGACAACCUCGAUAGUCUUGUAGAGCGUCAUUCAUCGAGUUCAGGUUAACGGGCGUUCCGACUGUUAACUAACGUACCUCGGAAUACACUAGUAAGGGCUUUUGUCUAGCCUUACCUUUACUAAAAUCAGCUAGACUACAUCUGUAGAAGAGUUAAGUAUAUUGGCCUAGACGCGGGCGCAAUUCCCGCCAUCUCCACCA